rnacentral:hammerhead_ribozyme from 1 species
AUCCAUUUGACGAGUCCCAAAUAGGACGAGAUGCGCGUCCUAGAU